CAUUGAUAACCUGAGUGGAGAUCAGGCCUUCCUUUAACAUAUCCCUUUGGUUCUUCAGAUGCGGAGGAGGGACCUCUCUGAGGCUGAAUCAGGAUCCUGCAAUGGUAAAAAAUUUCUGUAGGAAGCCUGGCUCAUUUGCUGUGGAAGUGAGGUGGCACACAGCAAAUGACGUAGGGGCUGGUGGAAGAAAAAGGCUGAUAUCAUUGUUAAGAAAACUGAACGCUGCCCUGGAGAACUGUUCCUGCCCCCACCAGAUGCCAGUCACAAAUGUGCCAGAUAUUCAGUAGUUAAAAAGGUGGCGCCCUUGAGGAUACCGACCCCUCAGGUGCAGACCCUGCGAAGCAAGAAAAGUUACAAGCACUAAUAGUUCAUUGUUCAGUUUCCAUGGCAGCAAAGAAGAACAUUUUCACCCACAAUGCUAUUCACACAGCCUCUUCCCAGUCUUGGGAGACUCUGGAGAAGGGAGGAGAUCCAGGACCUCUGCACACCUCUGGCUGAAUAUGUGAUGAUGACUGAUGAGGCAAUGCAGUAUAGAAUGAAAACAAAAACUAUAACCAGGAAACUUCUCUACAGAGCAGAAGUCUGUCACCCUCGGUGCACGCAGCAACUACACGUCCCCUCGCGGAGCGGCGAAGCACGCGCAACCGUGCUAUGAGAUCCUCUCCGCUCGGAUGCUUGCGUUCGGUGUCGAAGCACGGUGGCAGGCAUGAAAACCCACGCGUGAGCGUCUCCACGCGAGGCCUACGCCCAGGAGCCAGCCGGUUCAAACACCGACGGCGACGGCUCCUUGCAGGGCUCCCCAGCCAUAAUUACCGCGUUGGUACAAGCAUUUCAACCGUCGUACGAGGCCGGGUCGAGAACAGUCGAAGGGUUCAACAUGGAGGGUCAUUUUUCAGACCAGCAUACGCUUGUUUUUGAACCCGUAAGAGCGUGGAGCGUUAUACUCGAUGCAGCACAUUAGGGUUUGCUGUGGGCACUUACUGAGGAUGCCUGGCCUCGAAAUCAGCGUUGCUCACCCUGUCCUCUCGCUCGCUGGCGGGUUGCAGCGAGUAAUACAAGGGAAAUUGGGUUGAUGUGCAUGUUGUUCAGCGAACAGGGUCGUUUGGAGCGUGCAGCACUGCGUCCUCUUGAAGGCCGGGCCGGGCUGGACCCCGGGGGGAGGGGCCGCUCGCGGGGGCCCCGC